CCUACGGGGGGCUGCAGUGGGGAAUAUUGGACAAUGGGGGCAACCCUGAUCCAGCCAUGCCGCGUGUGUGAAGAAGGCCCUCGGGUUGUAAAGCACUUUCAGUGAGGAAGAACGCCUGGUGGUUAAUACCCAUCAGGAAAGACAUCACUCACAGAAGAAGCACCGGCUAACUCCGUGCCAGCAGCCGCGGUAAUACGGAGGGUGCGAGCGUUAAUCGGAAUUACUGGGCGUAAAGCGCGCGUAGGUGGCUUGAUAAGCCGGUUGUGAAAGCCCCGGGCUCAACCUGGGAACGGCAUCCGGAACUGUCAAGCUAGAGUGCAGGAGAGGAAGGUAGAAUUGCCGGUGUAGCGGUGAAAUGCGUAGAGAUCGGGAGGAAUACCAGUGGCGAAGGCGGCCUUCUGGACUGACACUGACACUGAGGUGCGAAAGCGUGGGUAGCAAACAGGAUUAGAUACCCCUGUAGUC
rnacentral:rRNA from 1 species